UAAUUACAUACUUUCUUUAUUUUGGGGACAAUUAUAUUAAAAUAGAUAUUAUAAUGUUUAGUGAAGUUCAAUAUUGCGAACUGUGCAAUAGCCAUAACAUUACAUAAUAUUGCACUUGCAGUAACGAUAUAUAAAAUAUUAGAUUAUAAAUUUAAAGUUUGAAUAGCUUGCCAAUGGCGUGAUUUGUAACAGUUGCACAGUGUGGGUACGCCUUGCUAGUCUUUCC